rnacentral:rRNA from 1 species
ACUGAACGGUGGCGGCAGGCCUAACCCCUGCAAGUCGAACGAGUGGUGGACGGGGGAGUAAAGUAUGGGAAACUGCUCGAUGGAGGGGGAUAACUAUUGGACACGGUAGCUAAUAGCUCAUAUCAUUGUAUGUGCUCAGAUGUGAUUAGCUAGCAGGUGGGGUAAAGGCUCACCUAGGUGAAGAUCCCUUGCUGGUCUGAGCGGAUGACCAGCCACACUGGACCUUGGACACCGUCCAGCCUCCUACGGGAGGCAGCAGUGGGGAAUAUUGCACAAUGGGCGCAAGCCUGCUACAGCCAUGCCGCGUGUAUUAAGAAGGCCUUCGGUUUGUAAAGUACUUUCAGCGGGGAGGCGUUACCCGCAGAAGAAGCACCGUCUAACUCCGUGCCAGCAGCCGCGGUAAUUC